GCCAGGGGGUUCUGGCGGGAUCUUGAUUUCAUCAGGCGACAUGUUCCGAACUCUUUCAGAAAAGGAGGCCACGAGUUCCUGGGGGUCUCGCUUUUCUGCUUCUUUCUUCCUUUGGAUAAUGUAGUUCAUAUCCAUUCCCUCCUUUAUCUUUCGUUCAUAAAGCUUCUGGAUCUUGUCUUGCAAGUGAUUUGAACAUCUGCCAGGGGGUUCUG
rnacentral:misc_RNA from 1 species